AAUCUAUUGAGCAUAUCAUCUUACAUUGUGGUUUUUCAACAUCUGUUUGGUAUAUGGUUCAGCAUGGUUCUUCAAGACUCCGGUAGCAAUAUCUCUAUAAAAGAUUGGAUUACUAAAUGGUUAACUAAUGGCAGUAGCUCAGAACAAAUAGGAAACUACAAAGGCUGCAGAAUAGUAUCCGGACAAGUAAGAGAAGCAGAGGAAGCGGAAAGUCUUGCGUUUUUUGAAGCUGU